GCAUAUCAAUAAGCGGAGGAAAAGAAACCAACAGGGAUUGCCUCAGUAACGGCGAGUGAAGCGGCAAAAGCUCAAAUUUGAAAUCUAGCACCUUUGGUGUUCGAGUUGUAAUUUGAAGAUGGUAACCUUGGGUUUGGCUCUUGUCUAUGUUCCUUGGAACAGGACGUCAUAGAGGGUGAGAAUCCCGUCUGAUGAGAUGCCCAUUCCUAUGUAAGGUGCUAUCGAAGAGUCGAGUUGUUUGGGAAUGCAGCUCUAAGUGGGUGGUAAAUUCCAUCUAAAGCUAAAUAUUGGCGAGGGACCGAUAGCGAACAAGUACAGUGAUGGAAAGAUGAAAAGAACUUUGAAAAGAGAGUGAAAAAGUACGUGAAAUUGUUGAAAGGGAAGGGCAUUAGAUCAGACUUGGUGUCUUACGAUUAUCUUCUCUUCUUGAGUUGUGCACUCGUAUUUCACUGGGCCAGCAUCGAUUCGGAUGGCAAGAUAAUGGCAGUUGAAUGUGGCUUCACUUCGGAGGAGUGUUAUAGCUUCUGCUGAUAUUGCCUGUCUGGAUUGAGGGCUGCGUCUUUUGACUAGGAUGCUGGCGUAAUGAUCUAAUGCCGCCCGUCUUGAAACACGGACC
rnacentral:rRNA from 1 species